UUUGAGUGCUGCUACCAAGCAUCAGUUUGAUCUCUGUCUCAUUAACAGACCUUACUGAAGAUGUCAUUCGUUCAGGGUUAGUGGGAGGAAUAUUUAAUUAAUAUCCUUUGUGCAGUGGUAGUUGAGAUGGCAAGAAGCCACCAGCGAGGUGUGUGGGAAGAUGAGUCGGCAUUACGCUGUGCCUGGGAGGUGAAGGUUCUCACUCAGUGUGUGCUUGAAGGUCCCUUGUUGCUUGUCUUUGAGGCAGAAAGUGAAGACAGCCAGCGGAGAAGGAGGGAAGCCAUCAGUAGUAAUGCAGGGGAUUAUCUCCUCGAGAGAAAUGGGCAUCUUUCCAUUAUAAAUAAACAGUUUUCCAGCAAAAAAAUACUUAGCUUGAGUAAUCAGUUGCUCCAGCUGAAGCAACCAACUAAUUGCAAUAUUGGCUAGUAACUUCACCUAAACAAUGAGGUCAGCCUCUGUCCUGCACCCCCGCCCCUCCACACCUUGGUUAACCAAGAUCUGGGUGUAGAGCUGGAAUCUCAGCCUCUGUCAGGUCUCCGAGUCUGACACGACUCUGUUGUCUGGUUUCCUGCCAACUCCAGUUUUUGUGCUGAGGCUCUGUCAGGCUGUGUCCUAGUUUCAGAACAAUAUCUUCACUAUGUUUCAGUCCCCAAGGCCAAUAUCUACACCAGAUUUAAUUAAAACUGGGAACGCUAAUCAGCAGGUCUUCCUGGAACUGUGAGAUUUCUGAGACCUUGACUGCAGUCACCAUCCCACAGAUUUCAGGAUGCCGGAAAGUUUAACACGUACGCUCACUUAGACUGGGCUUGUCCAGGCCGUGGCAAGAGGAGCAAGCGUUGCGGUGCAGCGUGCUGCCACUCCUUCCUGUUCCAGGCUGGUGAAGGGAAUUCCGAAUUUGCUGACAAUUGAAUGAGCUGGAAAAGGUCCAAGCACAACAGCGGCCAUUCCCUCCUUCCAGCCAAUGCCGUGGCCGGCAGAACAGAUCCAACCUGCACACGACCUGCUCCUCUCUGACAUGUUAAUUUUCUUCCUUUUGAGACUUUGCAAGGUGCUGAAGCUGUGCUGUCUCUGUUUCUAUGUAACCUGCGGCAUGGAUUAUAACAUGUUCAACUAAAUCCUUAAAAAAUAAAAGCAGGUAUGUGUUAAUUACACAAAGACUUGGUUUUGUAUUUAACAGUGAACAAAUCAGAUAUACUUGCUAAAAUAAAAAAGGUGGAUUGCAGCACACAAAUUUAUUUUUAUAUCAUUUAUUUUUAAAGACUUACUCCAGUGAAGAAAAUACACGUCUUCGGGUUUUCAAUUAUUAUUACAGUAAGGCACUCUUAAAUUGCAUUUGGAAAUCAAAGCUUUCCCAUUGUCUAGUAAUCAAUGAAGUGACUUCCGAUAACAGUAUUCUGGACAGAAUAUUCUCCCCAAGCAAUUAUUCGAACUUCUGAAGCUACAGCAGAAACAUAUGCUAAUUGAAUGGUAGUUAAAUUUCAAAAGGAAGACAGUCCAUAUCUAGUUUCUGUCAGUGGCAUCUAUAUUAGCUUCAUUUAUAGACUCUUCAUUAUAUAAAAGUAGGAUACAACAGAAAUCCAGGCUGUGACUGCUGUCCUCUUGCUGCUGGCUCUGAAGAGCUGAGAAAAUGAAAGUAUGGGAAAUGGGAGAAAAUAUGACCUCCAGGCAACAACACCUGGUGCAAAGGUUGCUAAAAGUCAGUGCGAGUCUGGUGAUUGCAGAACUUUGGAGAUUUUUUUAUAGAGUGAAAAAAUUCCACAUUUCUAUUAUACAAAGUGUAACAGAAAUCACAAAAUAUAUUGAUUUUAAAAUGCCCUCUCAAAUAUAAAAGUAAACCAGACUUGUGUUAGAGGGUUAUCUCAAACUCCAGCUCUCACUCUUUGAUACACUUUCUCUCUAAGGCUUACCGAGGAGCAAAAUAAAAAUUCUCAGAACAGUUCUUACCAUAUUAGUUCUGCUAUUCUUCCAUAUUCCUCAUAGGUCUCAUUUCUAAAAGGAGAAACAACUUUCUCGUGUUUUAGGAUAAUAAGCUGGGAGCUGUUCUGGGGCAUGGUGCUCAAUCAGAAAUGACUCUCCCAGCCUGGGGAAACUUUCUGAAACUUUUUAUUUGUCUAAUGUGGAAAAAAACAAUCACAUCACUUGAGGUAGCCUAGUUUUGCUGAGCAAGCAGAUCUUGCAGCUCCUUCUCCAGGCCAUGGCUGCUCAGGUCCGUUAAGCUGUAGUAUCUGUGAACAAUCUUCUCAGCCGUGACAACCACCACGCGAAGCCCGUGUGUGUCUUCUCCCAGCUGACAUCCUAUUGCUGAUGAAACCACCAUCUCCAGUCCUUUGUAGGACCCUCCCGCAUUCCUGUGGUAAUGUCCAGAAAAUACAGCUUUAAUGCCUGUUUAGAAAGAAAAAAGAGAGUAUGUUUUUAGUUAGCAGUUGCAGUUUAUGUAUAAAACAAGUUCACAGUUAAAGAUACUGCUGAGGUUAUAUGCUGAGGGUUGGAGAGAAAGUUCUAGAGCAAGUACAGCUACAGGUGUCAUGUUUACCUUCAUUCUUCAGUGGUUCAUAAAGCAUAAAAUUAUAAGUAAACCAUUUACCUGAACUUGCACUUUAAACAAAUAAUUAGUAAAAUAGUAGUAAAUAAUACCUAAUUAGUAAAACCUUUAUUCUGUUCCACUAGCUCUGGUUACUGCACUCUGACUCGCUGAGGCUUACUGAAAAGUGUGGUUGUCAUCCUGCUCCUCCUUUGGCUACAAAGCAGGAACACUCGAGAGGAACCUGAUUAAAGUUAGAAAAAACGUCCAGUAACAGAUAACUGCCUAAAGAAUGAUGCUACCGAAACAUGAGUGGAAAGCCAAGGAGUGUGGAGCUGUGUUUGUCAGUUAACAUGCAGAAAAUUCACUAAUGAGACCUUAAACCUGUUUACCCAAGGCCAGUCACCUUAAAAUUAUAAAAAAAAAAAGAGAAAGGCAAGACAAAUAAAAAACAUAAAUGAGAAGAUUAUUUGUCUUUUAUCAAAGACACCAGGGGUUAUCACAGGUGGAGCAGAGCCAGGUACAUCAAAGAAACCUAAUAAGCAGAAGAGGUUGUGAGUUAUGAUGAGGGGAAGAAAGAUGAGAGCAGCCAAAAAAGGAAAGGUUGACAACCUGCAAGAUGAAUUUACAGUUACCUAGUAUGGGGUACAAACAAGGCAGGUUUCUUCUGAUUCCCUCUCUAUUUUUAAUGACUUAUGGCUGCUCCAUGUCUUUCUCCUUUAAAAAAAUAGACUAUUUAUAUUUUGGGCUGUAAUGUGGUAAAAAAAAUAUCACCCUAUUAUAAACUUGAAAAGAAAGAAAUACAUUUGAUCUGUCCCCAAAAUACGCUAUACUGAAAAUUUCUGGGUAGGUCACAUGCAAGUACCAUCAAGACUUGGUCAGGAGCAGAAGAAAAUGACGAGCAGCAGCAGGUAAAGAGGACAAACGUACUUCAUGGUUAAGGCUUUAUAAAGUACUUGGUUGAAUCAUUGUCUAACUGAUCAGCCAGACACAUGUUUAAAGAAAUCCAGCUGUUCUUCCCCUUCUCUCAGAAUAUCAUCAUUUAACAAAAAAAUCAAUUUGCAGAUGCUGUCUGAUUUUGACCAACUUCUAAAGACGAUCCAUAUGCCAUGUCUGCGUCUAUGCGUCUAUGCGUCUAUGGCAUUUUUGCACAAGUUUUGAAACAAUUUCAAAUUAAAUUAAAUUGUCUCAUCCUCACCUCCCAAGCAGUAAUUUGUACUAUUUGUUUAUUCUGCCUUGCAAAAAUAAACAAAUAAAUGAGUAGAAGCUGCAUUCUCUACUCCGGCCUUUCUGACUGUCUUCACAGAUUGAAUUCAUGCCACCGAAUAGGUUAUUUUCUCCUUCCCAUUUGAUGUAAUUUUGAUCCUAAGUACUUAUCUUUCACAUCAAAGUUUGUAAAACCAUUAACAGCAGAGUCGAGAGACUAGUUUGUUCCUAGGAGAGAACGAGCGGGUCCUGUCCAGGUUGUGCCGGCGUCCUGUUCGCGCGCUGCUGACGGACACGGCUCCGCGCCAGCCAGCAGCGCUUGUUCUUCAGCAAGAGUGAAAAAGCAUCAGCUUUCUUGCUCUUUUGAGACGGUGCGUAUUUUAUUGUGAAUAAAAAUGCGGGGUUAGUAUAAACAGCUAAUUUUACAAACAGGUUUUGGGAUUCAUUUUUGGCAUGAUCAGUCUAAGAUCCUUUAAUUCCAGACUAUUACAGCUUCCUGAAGCUGCAUCUAAUGCUAUUUUUUACUGAUGUAAACACAAGAAUUACUGGACCAGAUGCCUGAAAAUACUGAGAAUUUUGUUGUUCAUCAUCAAGUGCAAAACAUUGUGCUUAAUUUUAUAUUUUGUUACAGAAAGUGUUUAGGUCUGGUAUUGAUUUACAAUACUAAUAAUGACAAUUCAAAAAAUUUCAAACCCACCUGAAGGAUUUAGAUGUAAUUUUGCUACUGAAAUACAAUAAAUUGCGUUCCCUAACCAUAAUGACACUUCGAUGUUUCUACAUAAAGCAUCUGAAAAUAUAUUAAGUUAAUGCUGAGUGACUCAGAAAGCACACUAAGUAUUCCCUGACAACUCCAACUACAUAGCCAGCAGGUUAUCAAAAUAACCAGCUACUUUAUGAAACAAUCUUUCCUAUGAGUUUGCUGUGUUGGCUAAAAAACUGCUGUGCUAUAAUGGAAAAAUAUUUCACUGGCACUAUUCUAUAGAUGCUGUACCUUGCUGAACAUAAUUUAUGUUUAUAUUGAAAAACAAUUUAAGAAGCAAAGGUGUGACCGUGUGUCUGUUCUGGAGCAGGACAGCAGAGUGAGCUCAGCACAGCUGGGGACAAGUGCCAGGUGCUCCCCGGUGGCACUUGUUCCUCUGCUGUCUGUGAAUACUCACUGCUCAUCAUUACAUUUCCAAGCAAUGCUUUGAGCAUUACAGAUCGAGGAGCAAGCCUGGGAAGAUAAUGCAGCCAUAGACACUGUGGUGACAACACCAAACUUCAUUUGUUACUUUUCAUAUAUUCCAGCAACCUGCCAUUCCAUGCUUAACACAGAAGGUAACACGUGUUCCAUCCUGUUCAAAUGAUAGGCCAGAGAAUGGGUAAUUUGUGAGAUGCUAUAACUUAAAUGACUUUUUUUUUUUUAAAAAAAAAAAGGUAGCAACAACUGAUUUUUGCCUUCAGACAGCAGAAAUUCUGGAAGAAUUUCUGGAAGAACAGAGGCAACUUAAAGGCAGAGAACAGUGAUUAGGAACACAUUACAACUGCACAAGGAAAUCUUCAGUUCUCUAGCUAGAAAAACCUUCCACCCUUUCUCCCCCAGUAGAUUUUGACCUCUUUCACUGUGAUCACAUGCAGAGGGAAGUAGGCGAACCUGUCUUUAGACAGCUGACUGCAUCAAUCCUUCGCUUUUGUGCGAGUGAUUGGAAGACUGAUAUAAAAUACAUAAACUAGGCUCAAAGUAUAGUUAAAAAUUAAGCAGCUUGAAAAUCAAAAUAUAAAUUAUUCUGCUGUGUGCCUGGUAAAAGCUACACAGGCUUUCAUAUUUCAACAGUCAAACCCUUCUCAAACAGCAAAUGACUCAAUGUAGAAAACAGAAUUAAGUUACCUUUACCGUGAGUGGAGACAUAUGGUCAUCGUCAGCUAGAAUGUGUCCGUUACCCUGUUUUAUUUUAUCAGUACUAAUUCUCUUUGUUUGGUGUAACUUGCUUAUCUACCUGGUGUAUCCACUUGUAAGUCAGCAUAAUAAUUUGGAGAGAUUGCUCUGACUCAGCUGCAGGAACCCAGCAAACACCUCAGAAGGUGACGGUGGAGCAGAAAAGCCCUGUGACACAACGGGCCCUUUGCAGAGAUCCUGGACUAUCUAGGUAUUAUUUGGAUCCUUAUAAUACAAAGAUGUUUAACAACUGGUGCUACAGUCAGUUUGAGAGCGAGCAGUCAUUUCUCAGCUCCUGCCACGCGGCUUACUCUUGUGACUGUCUAACGUAACAUGCUGUUCCGUUCCUUCCUUAGAGCUGCCUGUAACGGAUCCACGUGCGUCGCACAUUCUUGUCCUUCAAGCACUUAACGAAUAACCAGCAGUCUCCAGCAGUGUUCUAGAUUUCACGCUCGGGCACGCACCUCGUAUGGACCUGACUGCAUCUUGGUCAUUAUUUUCCACCUUUUCUGCAGGUAGGGAACCUGAGGAAGCUGCUUCUCCUGCCACCGCCACCUUCCCGCUGGAAGAACUGGACGUUCCAGGCUAUAGAAUAAAUACAGGGCCGGGAAAAGACGAGGGGAAGGCUCUGCUAAGAUAAACCCAUCCCACCGUGCCACCACCUUGGGAAAUCCAGCUAACAGUUUGUGAGCAUAAAGACAUUUCUGCAUAAGUUACAGGAAUAAUUUGUAGAAUUAUGUAUACCUCUUCCCAGUGGUGAAAUUCAAGCUCCAGAGACUAACACUUAGAUUAGAUUUGUCGACAGCAGGGCACUGGUUCCCUCAUUUAAUGCAAUAUUAUUUCUAUAGCAACAGAGAGACAUAUUCAGUGUUUCAUUGCAGAAAACAGAUUGCUCAAAAUGGAAAACAAGGCCCCUGCCCAAAGAGCCUAGGAAAUCAUACUAAGUAAAGAUUAUUUUAGGACAAUUGUAUCUUGGCUUGACCUUUUCUUGGUAGAAGGUCAAAACAACUACCAAAGUAGAGAAAUCCACGAAAAUAAAGUGGGAAUAGGGAGAUUAAUCUCUGUGUGCCCCAGCAGCACCCACCGCCCUGCAGUGCCCCAGACACCCCCUCUGGUAAGGAACAGAUAACAAAGACUACGGAGACAGAGUGAUCGAGAAAAGCCGGAGGCCACUAGAAAACUGCAGUGGCCACUGCAAUAGCAUAACAAAAAAAUCCCCUUUAAUCUCUACCAGGCAGAGAGCUAGCUGUAGUAUUUAAUUACGCAAAUUAUUACAAAGGACAUCUUUAUUUGAUGACAUGUAUUUCUUUAGCUUAGAUAGAGGUUUCUUGUAGGUGAAUGGGAAAAGAAUAUAAUGCCAAGAGGCAAUGUAAAAAAAUAAUUUGGGGAGUGUCAGGGUAGAUGUAGCGGAAAUUAAUUUCUAUUCUGUUUAUCCUGGCACCACGCGCAGCGGCUGUUUUAAAUCCCAAGGUACGCUAUUCUGCCUUUAUGCUACAUUCUGUAAAUGCAGUCUUGCCUGGAGACAAACAGCUCCACAAACUAACAGCCCAUAAAGGGCAGUUUGGUUUUUACGGAAAGCGGGAAAGAGAGAAGUGCUGGUGCAACUGCGCGCCACGCUCUGCAGCUUCCCGCUCCGGCCGCUCCCGAAAGCUGCGCGAUGUCAGCGGAGCACAAAGCUGCCACGGCAGCGUCUCUGCCGCAUGUUGUGUUGCUGCUUGCCUGAGCACUGCCAGUGCUCUGCCCUGCGUUGCCCGAAGCAGCUCACACAGCCUGCCCUCGCUCACCGAAAGAGCACAUUUAAACAAAGUACUUUCAAAGCAUUCUUGCUGAAGCUGGCUUCAGUCAGCAGAAGUAGAUACAAUCCUUUUGCUACUAAUCCACAGCUGCAGUUUACUUUGGGAUUCCACAGAACAGAGCGAGGUGUUGGGUUUGGUUUUUUAAUGCACCAGCUAUAAAAACAACUUGCAGCGCUGUUUACCCCCAAACCGCACCUCUGCAAUUGCCAGUGGCAAUUUUUGCCUCUGAGGCAACUCUUUGCUUACAGUGACCUCCACCAGCACUGGAACAUUUCCCCCGGGUAGUGCAAACGAAAGAUUAGCAAUCAGUUAACAAUAGCACCCACUGUUCUCCUGCUGUUAGAGGAAGGGGGCUACAGUGGCCUUCCAGGUGGUGUCCCAGGCAAUCCAACCGCUUUCAGCCAUCACAGCUGUUGGUCAGAAAUUCACACCGGAGAAGCCCAUCAGAGGUCAGUCCCUCAGUAUUUUACGUGAUGCUGCUGCAUUUGAGCAUUUCAGCACGGCUUGGACUGGAGGAUCUUCAGAGGCCUCUUCCAAGCCCUGCUGUGAUUCUGCACAGGACCAGCUCAGGACCAGCUCAGGCGCGUCCAGGGUGAGGCUGCAACUUAACAACAUGGCAAAAUGGAGAGCAAUCAUGUCCUGCAUUUCUAAAUCACUCAGUCUCAGUAUUUCAAUGUAUCUUAAAAGUGUCCCAAACUUAAGCGGAGUUGCAAACACAAUAUUUGAAGGAAAUCACAAAUUUUCAGUUUGAAAAAGAAGAAAGUUAAAAAGAAAAUUAUUUAAACAUGAGCUGUUAUGUGACCGACACUCUUGAAAAACCCUGAUACAAUAACUGGAAUCUGCCUGGCAAUUAACCCAAGAGACUGAUGAUAAAGAGAAGGCAGGAGCUGAACUGUAGAUUGUAAUGCUAUACAAAACAUCACAUAGAAAUAGUAACUAAAUUUGAUAAAAGCAAAAUGAAAAAUGUCAAAACACCACCAAUGCAAAUGGAAUUUAUAAAAAAAUUGGGCCCAUUCCUUCUGUAAUUUAUUAUAAUAUUAGGAGAAUUACUGUGACUUCAGAAGACAAGAGGCAAUGACGACUGUUAUAAAUAAAAGACAGAUUGGUGUAAUGCCUUACAGUGCGUUACAGUUGCUUUAAUCAAAGAGUCUAAUUAUUUUGUGCUCUUUCCUGUUCCUGAGAUGUUUGGGGGUUGUGUUUGGUUUUUGUGUGGUUGUGGGGUUCCCCCCCCACCCCUUUUCAUUUUUUCUUUUCAUGACUGAAAAGAUCUGUCAGGCCACCCGGUCCCGUCUUACUAACUCCUGUUAGGCUGUGCUCUUCCUUGGGCCUGGUUUUAAAGUCUCCCCUGUAGCACCUGCCAUCAUGAAGUCACGCAACACACGGCGGCAUUCCAAACAACCGCAUGCACACGUGUUCAUAAACCCGGGAUGGUCAUGCUCUGAAACAGGUCUUUCUGUCAGUCUGGGCUGUAAUAACCUGUCUCCUCUCUCUCGUUCCAGCAUAUGUAUUUCUAACAUCCAAACAGCCUCAAAACAAUUUUACGAUGUGCAAAAAAUUAUUACACAGUUUAAAAUAGUGUAACUAUGACUGUAUUCGCUACUGGACAAACUGACUACUCAGUCUGACUUGAUAAAGAACCUCAUGUCAUUAGUUCCACUGCAAAGCGGGAACUGAAAUACUCGUUAGUCUACAGCUGGAAGCGAUUCCUGGUGCAUUAGAAACAAGUAAUAAUCUGAGAUGCAGAAAGUGACCACACUGAAGAAUCUUCCUGCAUGAAAACACAAAUUAAAUUAGAGCUCUGGGCACUGAAACAAGAAGAAAAUUUAACUCCAGCUUUAGCUAAUAAUUAAGAAUUAUUACAUUAAAGCAAUGACAAAACCCCCAAAGCGAACAGGGCUGCCUGUUUGGGCUCAGCUGCUCCCAGAGUCAGGACAGCAAAUGCCAACGUUGUUCUGAGUGUCGGGCACACAGGUGCCCACUGAACAGCCCGGUUUGUGUCAUUUACUGUUCACUCUGCUGUGAAAACGGGAAUUAUGCUUCACUUUGGCACAACUCUGCUCCCCUCAUCCCCCCGCGUGUCGGGGCUGUCACAGCGGGCACAGGCCACCGCCUCGGCCCUGCUCCCAUCAAAUCACCACAGGCAGGAAAACCGACCACAACACUGCAGGAGUAAUAACAACAAGAUUAAUAAAAAGAAGCUGAAGGUACAAAAGUCUUGUUUCCAAUAACUGUUCGUUUUUCAGAGACCUUCUUCAAACACCUUCUUCAAACAACUGCUGUGAGAACGUUACAGCUCUCGGAAGCUUCCAUCAUAUUUACAGUUCCGUAUUAAGUACUUACAGCAUGACUUUGAAACACUAGUCCCUUAAUUCUGAUGAAACUGUCCUGUUAAACUGAGAAAUAUUCAAGUCAGUGUGUACAAUUGCUUAAGAAGAGAUGCACUUUUCCUGGCGUCCAAGGCAUCGCCUCCCCUGACCAAGCCACCUUUGCUACCAGAACGAGGACAGAACAGACAGUAUCAGCGCGGGUCAGCGGUUCAGACAGACCACAAAGGGGCUUGGCCAGUUGUGUCUGUGCUCUGUGCUCGCGCUGCCCCGGGUGCUCAGAGCAGAGCUCACGGUCCCAACGGGCUCCAGACGGGAAUUAUCCCGCCCAGCCCUGCCCAGGAACACCACGUCACCCUCCACUGACCACAGAGACUUGGCCGCUUGGAAAAGACUUGGGUCAGCUUGAUUAAUUGAGUCAAAGUGACGUGGGCUAGAUCUCCUGCCACCAGCUUCCAAGGGAGAAGAAGAAAAUACGAUUCAGAAGGACGGAAAGGCCUGCAGAUGUGCCUUUUAAAAAGCAAACACUUCUCAACCAGAAAGACAGUUCUAGUCGCCUCGUCCAGCCAGACCUGCAAAACCCAGAGCACUGACAUCGUCAGGUUCCUCCUGACAAACAGCAGGUCCAACUCCAAGAGAACAAAGGAGGCAACGAAGAUUCCACCACAGAUAUAUUUACUGUACAAGGUGCCACAAAACUAACUCCCUGUAGAUGUCCACUCCAUUGUACACAUUUUCAACUGUUCACACAGAAGCUGAAGUGCUAAAGCUGAGAAUAUGAUACGCUAAACUAAAACUUUCUGGGUUGUUAAAAAAGCGAGAAAAGAAAUAAUUUGACUUUAAGAGAUUAAGUUUUUACUACAACACGGAGAAAAAUCUAACUAGGCUUCCAUAUAUAUAUAUAUAUAUAUAUAUAUAUAUAUAUAUAUAUAUAUAUAAAAUUUAGUACUACAUUUUCAGUACUCGUACUGAAUCUAAUACUUGUACUGAUACUUGUAUCAUAAAAGUAUAUGAUUCGAGACAAUUGUCUAAUUAAUUACAUCUCAAAGAUUUUCAUAUAGAGAGUUCUUGUCAACAGGAUUCCUUAGUUCAGCUCUGGACUGGACUAGAGAUUAUGGUCUAAAGGAAAAAUAAGUAUCUGUGUGCUGAAUAUUAAAUAUUUGCUUCUGACGGUCCCGUGGUUUCUUCACAAUCCAAGACUGCAACGCAUUGUCAAACGUGCAUGGAAAACACCGCAGGUUUCCCCGCUCGUGGGUUGAUUAGAGCAAACUUCACACUAAGCAGUUUGGAGGCUUUGAAUGUUCCAUUAGUUUAUGCCAGAAUUACUAGAAUUUUACUAGAAUUACUAUAAAAUGUUUAUUUAUGCAGCCAUAGUGACAUUUCUUGAACUAGGUAUUAUUGGAAAUAAUGUGCUACUUACCCAAAUUCUUAGACAAUAUUAACAUUAGCGUAAGAGUCUGGAGAAGAAAACAGCUAAGAAUCCUUUUCCUUUGGGCUCCAUCCUACCCAGCACAUCAAAGCUUUUGAUCAGUUGCAAUAGCAGAAGAAAUGGCUGCAGUGAGUUUAUUUAGAGUAAGCUACCUUCUUGUCAGGAAAUUGGGCUAAACUUAAACACUGCUCAUGUUAUGUGAGAUGACAGUACCAAAAAAAGCCCAUUGAUGAGUCAGUGACGUAUUAAAAAAUUACCUUGCAUUCAACAAAUAACAUUUUUACCUGAUUCCAUACAAACAUUUCCAAGCCACCGCUGCUGCUUUGCACUUGGAAGGUCAACCUGGGCCUUUUCCACCUGGUGCUGUGUUACAAACCCCCUAACAGAGGUGCAGGAGCUGGGACUGAGCUGCCAGUUCUGCUGGAGCUGUGCGGGACAGCGGGACACGGUGGAGCCGCGUGGGACAGAGGGACACGGCGGAGCUGUGCGGGACAGAGGGACACGUUGGAGCUGUGCGGG